GAGGCGAAGAGCAGUCGGUCGACGCUGUCAGCGACUUUUUUCUCGAAGAACACAAAUUUCCGCGGUCGAAGUAAUUUUCGUUAAAUAUCACGCCCCAAUAUAGCGCACAUUCACAUUCGGUGCAUUUUCUGGGGAUCGCUUUUCCGCGUGUAGUUGUGUCAAUUUCGUUUUUACCGACGAAUCGGAUUGCACGAUCUAGCACGAAGGCACCUGAUUGAGAACACCGUAUACGGCCCUUUUGAAGAGGUCAUUCAACAGAUGAGUUUGUUUACAACAUGGCAACCCUUCAACAUGCAAAUCCGUGGCAGGAUGGUUCCUGUGUUUGCAAGAAGCAACGACCGCCGAAGAUCGGUGAGAUACCGCGGUAAGUACUCUCUUCUGCUCUCUUAGCUCUCUAAAAACAAACGUUAAUAUAAUAGUACAGUAGUUUUGUGGUGAAUUAAAGAAUGCGUAAUAAUGAUUAGGAAAAUUUCUUUUAUGUCU